AGCUGCUGAUGAUUUCCAAUAAAUACUUUUCUGACAUCUCCAAUGAAUGCUGCCUUGCAGCAGCUGAAUAUAAAAUUAAGUCUGAGGCUC